AACCAAAACGACUCUCGGCAACGGAUAUCUCGGCUCUCGCAUCGAUGAAGAACGUAGCGAAAUGCGAUACUUGGUGUGAAUUGCAGAAUCCCGUGAACCAUCGAGUUUUUGAACGCAAGUUGCGCCCAAAACCUUCGGGUCGAGGGCACGUCUACCUGGGUGUCACGC
rnacentral:rRNA from 1 species